rnacentral:rRNA from 1 species
GACGAACGCUGGCGGCGUGCCUAAUACAUGCAAGUAGGACGCAGUUGCGAACGGGUGAGUAACGCGUAGGUAACUACCUAUUAGAGGGGGAUAACUAUUGGAAACGAUAGCUAAUACCGCAUACCAGUAGAUAGACCUGCGUUGGAUUAGCUAGUAGGUAGGGUAAUGGCCUACCUUAGCAACGAUACAUUGCCGACCGUGCGAGGUGAGCCAGCACACUUGGACUGAGACACGGGCCCAACUCCUACCGGAGGCAACAGUAGGGAAUCAUCGGCAAUGGGGGGAACCCUGGCCAAGCAACGCCGCGUGAGUGGAAAAGGUUUUCUGAUUGUAAAGCUCUGUUGUUAAGGGAGCGGUACUUAACCAAAAAGGGACGGCUAACUACGUGCCAGCAGCCGCGGUAAUAC